rnacentral:rRNA from 1 species
GGGUUGUGAGGUUAAGCGACUAAGCGUACACGGUGGAUGCCCUGGCAGUCAGAGGCGAUGAAGGACGUGCUAAUCUGCGAUAAGCGUCGGUAAGGUGAUAUGAACCGUUAUAACCGGCGAUUUCCGAAUGGGGAAACCCAGUGUGUUUCGACACACUAUCAUUAACUGAAUCCAUAGGUUAAUGAGGCGAACCGGGGGAACUGAAACAUCUAAGUACCCCGAGGAAAAGAAAUCAACCGAGAUUCCCCCAGUAGCGGCGAGCGAACGGGGAGCAGCCCAGAGCCUGAAUCAGUGUGUGUGUUAGUGGAAGCGUCUGGAAAGGCGCGCGAUACAGGGUGACAGCCCCGUACACAAAAAUGCACAUGCUGUGAGCUCGAUGAGUAGGGCGGGACACGUGGUAUCCUGUCUGAAUAUGGGGGGACCAUCCUCCAAGGCUAAAUACUCCUGACUGACCGAUAGUGAACCAGUACCGUGAGGGAAAGGCGAAAAGAACCCCGGCGAGGGGAGUGAAAAAGAACCUGAAACCGUGUACGUACAAGCAGUGGGAGCACGCUUAGGCGUGUGACUGCGUACCUUUUGUAUAAUGGGUCAGCGACUUAUAUUCUGUAGCAAGGUUAACCGAAUAGGGGAGCCGAAGGGAAACCGAGUCUUAACUGGGCGUUAAGUUGCAGGGUAUAGACCCGAAACCCGGUGAUCUAGCCAUGGGCAGGUUGAAGGUUGGGUAACACUAACUGGAGGACCGAACCGACUAAUGUUGAAAAAUUAGCGGAUGACUUGUGGCUGGGGGUGAAAGGCCAAUCAAACCGGGAGAUAGCUGGUUCUCCCCGAAAGCUAUUUAGGUAGCGCCUCGUGAAUUCAUCUCCGGGGGUAGAGCACUGUUUCGGCAAGGGGGUCAUCCCGACUUACCAACCCGAUGCAAACUGCGAAUACCGGAGAAUGUUAUCACGGGAGACACACGGCGGGUGCUAACGUCCGUCGUGAAGAGGGAAACAACCCAGACCGCCAGCUAAGGUCCCAAAGUCAUGGUUAAGUGGGAAACGAUGUGGGAAGGCCCAGACAGCCAGGAUGUUGGCUUAGAAGCAGCCAUCAUUUAAAGAAAGCGUAAUAGCUCACUGGUCGAGUCGGCCUGCGCGGAAGAUGUAACGGGGCUAAACCAUGCACCGAAGCUGCGGCAGCGACGCUGAUGCGUUGUUGGGUAGGGGAGCGUUCUGUAAGCCUGCGAAGGUGUGCUGUGAGGCAUGCUGGAGGUAUCAGAAGUGCGAAUGCUGACAUAAGUAACGAUAAAGCGGGUGAAAAGCCCGCUCGCCGGAAGACCAAGGGUUCCUGUCCAACGUUAAUCGGGGCAGGGUGAGUCGACCCCUAAGGCGAGGCCGAAAGGCGUAGUCGAUGGGAAACAGGUUAAUAUUCCUGUACUUGGUGUUACUGCGAAGGGGGGACGGAGAAGGCUAUGUUGGCCGGGCGACGGUUGUCCCGGUUUAAGCGUGUAGGCUGGUUUUCCAGGCAAAUCCGGAAAAUCAAGGCUGAGGCGUGAUGACGAGGCACUACGGUGCUGAAGCAACAAAUGCCCUGCUUCCAGGAAAAGCCUCUAAGCAUCAGGUAACAUCAAAUCGUACCCCAAACCGACACAGGUGGUCAGGUAGAGAAUACCAAGGCGCUUGAGAGAACUCGGGUGAAGGAACUAGGCAAAAUGGUGCCGUAACUUCGGGAGAAGGCACGCUGAUAUGUAGGUGAGGUCCCUCGCGGAUGGAGCUGAAAUCAGUCGAAGAUACCAGCUGGCUGCAACUGUUUAUUAAAAACACAGCACUGUGCAAACACGAAAGUGGACGUAUACGGUGUGACGCCUGCCCGGUGCCGGAAGGUUAAUUGAUGGGGUUAGCGCAAGCGAAGCUCUUGAUCGAAGCCCCGGUAAACGGCGGCCGUAACUAUAACGGUCCUAAGGUAGCGAAAUUCCUUGUCGGGUAAGUUCCGACCUGCACGAAUGGCGUAAUGAUGGCCAGGCUGUCUCCACCCGAGACUCAGUGAAAUUGAACUCGCUGUGAAGAUGCAGUGUACCCGCGGCAAGACGGAAAGACCCCGUGAACCUUUACUAUAGCUUGACACUGAACAUUGAGCCUUGAUGUGUAGGAUAGGUGGGAGGCUUUGAAGUGUGGACGCCAGUCUGCAUGGAGCCGACCUUGAAAUACCACCCUU